UCCCGACGAACGUUGGCUCGGUUUUGUCCCUUUUAGCCUUUUGCCGCCCUGCAGAAUUUGAGGCCUGCAGGCUAAAAGGGAAACAACUGAGUCAACGCUCGGCGGGA